GGAGUCUGGUUACCGUAGAAAUCUCACUGUCGAGGAAGCUCGGAUGCAAACGAAGUCCGAAAGAAGUUCGAAAAAUAGUUGGUUGCUGUAGAAGGUCGGCUAAUAGUGGGGCCUAGAGGGCUUUUAGAGUGGCCCAGUGGAUGAGUGCAGAAGUUCAUUGUCGGAGAAGUCCAGACGGUCGAGGGGGUUCGGAGAGAUGCCACACAUA
rnacentral:lncRNA from 1 species